UCCUUGGGUGGUGAGUGGGGCGGAGCCAUUCUGUUGGCAACAGAAUAUGCCCCAAAAGGAGUUCGUGGGCUUUACGGUUCGAUUCCUCAAUUAGGGGU
rnacentral:tRNA from 1 species